rnacentral:rRNA from 1 species
UACGGAGGAUGCGAGCGUUAUCCGGAUUUAUUGGGUUUAAAGGGCGCGUAGGCGGGCAUUUAAGCCGGCGGUCAAAUGUCGGGGCUCAACCCCGGCCUGCCGUCGGAACUGGGUGCCUUGAGUGGGCGAGAAGUAUGCGGAAUGCGUGGUGUAGCGGUGAAAUGCAUAGAUAUCACGCAGAACCCCGAUUGCGAAGGCAGCAUACCGGCGCCCUACUGACGCUGAGGCACGAAAGUGCGGGUAUCGAACAGG